rnacentral:misc_RNA from 1 species
GAUGAAGAACGCAGUGAAAUGCGAUAAGUAGUGUGAAUUGCAGAAUUCAGUGAAUCAUCGAAUCUUUGAACGCACAUUGCGCCCCUUGGUAUCCCGAGGGGCAUGCCUGUUCGAGCGUCAUUUCACCACUCAAGCCUGGCUUGGUGUUGGGCGACUUCCCCUUUGGGGACGCGCCUCGAAACGCUCGGCGGCGUGGCACCGGCUUUAAGCGUAGCAGAAUCUUUCGCUUUGGAAGUCGGGGCCCCGUCUGCCGGAAGACCUACUCGCAAGGUUGACCUCGGAUCAGGCAGGGAUACCCGCUGAACUUAAGCAUAUCAAUAAGCGGAGGA